CCUACGGGGGGCAGCAGUGGGGAAUAUUGCACAAUGGGGGGAACCCUGAUGCAGCGACGCCGCGUGAGUGAAGAAGUAUUUCGGUACGUAAAGCUCUAUCAGCAGGGAGGAAAAAAGGCGGUUACCUGAGAAAGAAGCCCCGGCUAACUACGUGCCAGCAGCCGCGGUAAUACGUAGGGGGCAAGCGUUAUCCGGAUUUACUGGGGGUAAAGGGAGCGUAGACGGCAGAGGAAGUCUGAAGUGAAAGCCCGCGGCCCAACUGCGGGACUGCUUUGGAAACUGCCCGGCUAGAGUGCUGGAGAGGUAAGCGGAAUUCCUAGUGUAGCGGUGAAAUGCGUAGAUAUUAGGAGGAACACCAGUGGCGAAGGCGGCUUACUGGACAGUAACUGACGUUGAGGCUCGAAAGCGUGGGGAGCAAACAGGAUUAGAUACCCCUGUAGUC
rnacentral:rRNA from 1 species